CUGGCCUCCAGGCUUUAUUGUGCUGUAAAUAUUAUUACUCAUAAUAAAAACCAACCUAGCGUUUUUCCCCAAAACUCUAUGCUUUGGUCUUCAGCUGCUGAUGCUGGUUCAAGCUGGAAGAGGAAGUAUAUAAAAAACACCAAAGAAGGCUUCUUUGAAAUUUCUUAUGUUAUUUUACAGACCCAAAGUCCACAUAACCUCCAGAGAAUUACAGAUUAGCACCACACAACCUGCCAGUUUUCUCCAAUCAGUCCCUUUUGUCUACCAUGAGAGCUGUCACAUGUGGUGAUGUCUGACUUUCCCCAUGCCUGUGCAUUAUAUUGCCAUGGGGCAGCCCAUGUGUAGGACACAGUGGCUACAACAGCAGUACGUGGCCAUCUGAUGAUCGUUAACUGUGUGAUGGCAGCUUGAGCUUGGUUUGAUGAGCAGCUGAGCUGAGCUGGUGACUGACCAAAAGCAAAGGGAAAGACUUAGCACAUUUCUCUUUCCUCAAAUCAAGGAGGUCUUCAAAACCCACCAAGACACUGUCAGCCACCAUCUCUGACCAUGGAGACUGAGAAAUACCAUGCAAUAUAUUGUGAUCCGACCAGCUUUUUUUCUUGACCGUAACUACACAAUAUACAUAAUACAUGAAUCUAAUAAUAAAUCCCAGGACUUACAUAAUUCACUUGGGGUAAUGAAAAUGCACUUUCGCAAAGGUAUUAAUAAGAUUUAUAAUUAUUUACAUAUUCUCUCCAGGGAAGAAUGUGAGCUGUUAAACAAUUUGCUCAAAUAAAAGCAGUGCAGUUACAACAUGGGAAAGAAAAGAACUUCACUUCUUUAGCCUCAAUCUCUUACAAGCCUGCAUUGCUUUCAGUAUUCCCAUUUCUAGUUAUAUGUGAAAUGAUAAGAAGAAAUGGAAUGCUUCAAAGGGAAGGGACUGUUGUGUCCACAUCGUAAGUUUCAUAGUCCUUACUUAAAACACAAUUUAUCUUUAUUGCUCACAUAGGGGUGAUAUAUCGCCUCACACAGUAAAUAGGCAAGGUGGACUUUGUGGUAAAAUUUAAACUUUAACAUUUUCUGAGGUUAUAAAAAUAUUCCUCCCUAUGACACCUUAUUUAGAGAUUAAUCUGUAUCCUUUCCACACAAUGGUUUCAAUGCCGCAGUUCAUGAACACCUGCUUUUUAUGUCUCCUCUUUUAGUGCUUGAGCUGAGGAACUGUCAAAGGAAUUAGGUACAUAUACUGUAUUUUUUUCAGUGCGUGUAGCUUUUGAAAACCUUCUUAUCUUAUUGGAAACAUCACAGAGAAUCUAUGAAAAGAUCCAGAAUACUGCUAUGCACAAGACAUGGGGCUGUGUCAUUGCAUUGAACUUCAUGGUGGCCUGUGAAGGCAUAUGGGGAGAGUGAAAUGUGUGUCUGUGGACAAGAGCUUGCUUCUGGAAUUGUCAUUUUUUCCUCUCCCCUGGUCUGGCAGGGUGAAGAUGUGGGAGAAGGGCAUGAGAGUUUAGAUAACAUGUGAUUCCUGUGCUAUAGGAAAGGAAAAAUGUCUCAGCUUUCUGCAUUCAUCUAAAUGUCAUGACUUGGCCUCUCUGCUUACAGUCUGACAGUUUGCAAACCUGGCUCUGACGGUUCCAGGUGAGAACAAGGUUAUGUCUGACCUCCCCUCUGUGCAGGGAUGACACAGAAUAAGCAAAUAGCCUGUCUGGAAACACAGCUGCCAGUGGGAACAGAUGGGUACUUGGACUUUCACAACUGUUUUCUGAAUAUUUGCUGAAUGUCACCAGGUUUGUUGCUGGAAUUGAAGGUCCAUUGAAUCUAGAUGUUCCAGGAGCCAAUCCUGGGAUCUGCAGCCUGCAAAUGCUCCUCCAGAAAGCAAAGGGUUCAGGACAAAGGUCUGGGACUAGUUUAGGAUGGGGGCUGAAGUUCAGGGGCAUAAAACCCCCUUUGUGUGAGCCUGUUUGGGUGAGAAGGUGAGUCAAAGCCAAAGCCACCCUCAUUCUCUUUGCGCAAACUAUCCCGUCUCCGGGUCUGGCUUAGCACCUUGUAGUCCUUCCCACCUGGGUGAAGUCUGGAAAUAGCUGAGCUCCCUGGACUGUGGUCCCGUUAGUCAAUAUUUGGUCCCUCAGCUGGGGUUUAGAGGGGUUAUCCUCUGCUGCCAGUGCGGGCCACGGCACUGCUAAGCCCUCCAGACAUGAAGCUACAUGGAAACGGGACAUACUGACUCAGAGGGAGUUUUGCAGUCCUGAAGGUUGCUUGCCUGUGGUAAAGAACAAACUGCCUUGUCAUUUCUCUGCAUCUUCUCCCAUUUUUUUCAAGGUGAGGCUUUCUGCCCUGGCUCAUUUUACAGGUCUGUCCUUACUCCUAAUGAAGCUAAAGAUAAAACUCCCACUAAGAGAAGCUUGUCCUGCAUUUAGAAACAGCUGAGGACUGGUGGAAAUUUUAAAAACAACCAUGAUAUUGUUUGUCAUAAAGGAGUAAAAUAAUUUAAAAAACGACAACAAACUCUCUAGCUAAGACAACUGUCCUUUGACAUUUGUUCAUAAACCAAUUAAAAAAAAACUGAAAGUUUGUUCCCGUUUCUAAAUACACGUCUCACAUAACAAUAAAACCCAUUAACAUUUAAGUGCAUGGCAAUUCUAGCACUGCUUUUGCACAGUUUACUUAAGAAGCUCCAAAAUAAACCUGAAGAUAAUCACACUUAGACCAAAGGCAUACUCAGGAUAAAAUAAAAACACAGCCAUAGUAGUUACAGUCUGAAAGUGACUGGGGUACAAUAAAGUAUAGUCACAACUAAAUUAUGUCUUGGACUGAAGUAGAUACAUACUAUUAAUUGGAUGUAGGCCCUUUAACCUUUUUGCAGGAAGCAAACUUGAGAUCUAAUAAUUUUUGUGAAGAUGAGCCUUCUGUACUUCCAGUAAUAUUUCUGGGCUUUGAAAGGAUCCUGACUUUCUGUUCAGAUUGUUUUGAUGAGAUUGGGUCUAAUAUUUCAACCAUGCCAACUGAGCAGAGGUAAGGGAGGAUAAAGGAGGGUGGAAGCUUGAUUGCCUUAUUCAAAGGAUAAAAAUACCCUGCUGGUAGUAUCAGUGUUCCACUGCUGAUCUUUUGAAGGUACUUUGUUGCUAGACGUUUUCAUGGAUGUAAAAAAUUGUGGCAGAAGGGAGUUUUAGCUAACAAUUCAAGUAUCUCUACUUAUAAAGAAGUAACCCGUUGGCAAAAAGACAUGAAGGCAACAGUGUUCUUAUCAUACACAAACCUGAUUAAUAUAUAAUUUCUCUGUUGAGUUCACCACCUUUUGUUACAACUGUGUCCAGAUUAAGGUCCUAAAUUAGGCUUUGGGCUUCUAAAAUAUACAGGACAAUAUAAUCCCGCAUUCUAAGAUAUCUCCUUUUAAGCAAACUGUUUUAAUUUUAACCCCAAACUAUUGCUGACUACAGUAAGAAAAGCCAAAACCCUAAUCCAGGUUGAAACCUCAUGCCUACAGUUUAAAAUGUAAUGGGUGAUUUUUGUGUGCCUUGCUUUUUCUUUACUAGAUUUUCUUGAAGGACUCAGGACCUCACAGUGAGGUUCUCCAAGGCUGGAAUGAGACAUCAGGAACGGACUUGGUCAACCCU